UUCGAUCCUGGCUCAGGAUGAACGCUAGCGACAGGCUUAACACAUGCAAGUCGAGGGGCAGCAUAAAAGUAGCAAUACUUGGUGGCGACCGGCGCACGGGUGAGUAACGCGUAUGCAACCUACCUAUCAGGAGGGGAAUAACCCGGCGAAAGUCGGACUAAUACCGCAUAAAACAGGGGCACCGCAUGGUGAUAUUUGUUAAAGAAAUUCGCUGAUAGAUGGGCAUGCGUUCCAUUAGGUAGUUGGUGAGGUAACGGCUCACCAAGCCGACGAUGGAUAGGGGAACUGAGAGGUUGGUCCCCCACACUGGUACUGAGACACGGACCAGACUCCUACGGGAGGCAGCAGUGAGGAAUAUUGGUCAAUGGGCGAGAGCCUGAACCAGCCAAGUCGCGUGAAGGAAGAAGGAUCUAUGGUUCGUAAACUUCUUUUGCAGGGGAAUAAAGUGCAGGACGUGUCCUGUUUUGUAUGUACCCUGAGAGUAAGGAUCGGCUAACUCCGUGCCAGCCGCAGC
rnacentral:rRNA from 1 species